UAAUUUGGGGUGGGAGGGAGGACUUCAAUGUGCCGCAGACGUGCACAACUUCCCUCCAAUGUCUGACCAUCUCCAAAGAUUAAAACUUGGCUUCAUGGCAUUUUCCAGCACGCUAUUCUGCUGUUUCCAUUUGAGGAGAGAGAAAGAAGACACUUUUCAGGCGCAACAGUGAUGACUAUGAGUUUAAGGAAAUUAACAUAUUGUGUCUCUAUUCUCUUUGUGGGUUUAUCUGUUUUCUUAUUUUACAUCUACCCAUCUCCAUCUUUUCAACAAACAUCUCAAGAAUUACCCAAAUCCAUAUACGAUUUCACUGUUAAGGAUAUCAAUGGUAAAGAUGUGAGUUUUAGAAAUUUCAAGGGGAAGGUACUUUUGAUUGUCAAUGUCGCUUCUCAAUGUGGUCUAACAAAGUCAAACUAUCAGGAAUUGAACAUUUUGUACGAGAAGUAUAAGCCCCAAGGUUUUGAAGUUUUAGCCUUCCCAUGUAACCAAUUUGGAUGGCAAGAACCAGGAAGUAAUGAAGAAAUCAAUGAAGUUGUCUGCUCUACAUUUAAAGCUGAAUUCCCUUUAUUUCAGAAGAUCGAAGUCAAUGGUAAGAAUGCAGCACCACUAUACAAGUUUCUGAAAGCAAAGAAGUCCGGAGUACUAGUAGAUGAGAUCAAAUGGAACUUUGCAAAGUUUUUGGUGGACAGACAAGGAAUUGUUGUUGAGCGAUAUGCUCCUGUGACCUCCCCCUUACAAAUCGAGCGUGAUAUUCAAAACCUCUUGGGAUCAUCUUAGUUUCUGACUUCUGAUCCUCUGGCGUGCAUCAUCCGAGACUUGCUUAAUAUUCAGAUAACUAAGGAAUGGCUCUAACCCUACAAAUGGUCUUUUAGUAGGUAGCGCAUUUCUACAAGUCUUCAAUCCAAUCAUCAUCCUUCUCGGUUCCUCUUGACUCAUAAGCAUUAAACUUAGAGGUGAUCACGGGUCGGGCUAGGUCAGGCCAAAAUUUUGUACCCAAAACCUGCAAAAUUGGGUUUGGCCAAAAAUUAGGCUGGAAAGUCAUUUUUGGCUUACCCAAGCCCGACCCAAAGAAAAAAUCGGGUUGGGCCCAACCGUGGGCCAAAAAAUUUUCCCCGAAAUUUGAGACGGAUUGACUUGAUCAGCUCUAAUUGAACGGAAGUGGAAAUAAUUGAACAUUCUUACCAGUAUAGCCUUUUAAUCAUGAACAAUUAUUAUACAAUUACUAAGAGGCACUGUUAUCAACCUCAUAUAACAUAUUGUUACUUGUGAACAUUUGUUUACCAUAUUUUCCUACGAACAUUAAUGUUCCAAAUUAUAUAAAAUAAAUCCAGUAUUGUUUAUUA